rnacentral:rRNA from 1 species
CACUCCUGCGGGAGGCAGCAGUGGGGAAUUUUGGACAAUGGGCGAAAGCCUGAUCCAGCAAUGCCGCGUGAGUGAAGAAGGCCUUCGGGUUGUAAAGCUCUUUUGUCAGGGAAGAAACGGUGAAAGCUAAUAUCUUUUGCUAAUGACGGUACCUGAAGAAUAAGCACCGGCUAACUACGUGCCAGCAGCCGCGGUAAUACGUAGGGUGCAAGCGUUAAUCGGAAUUACUGGGCGUAAAGCGUGCGCAGGCGGUUUUGUAAGUCUGAUGUGAAAUCCCCGGGCUCAACCUGGGAAUUGCAUUGGAGACUGCAAGGCUAGAAUCUGGCAGAGGGGGGUAGAAUUCCACGUGUAGCAGUGAAAUGCGUAGAUAUGUGGAGGAACACCGAUGGCGAAGGCAGCCCCCUGGGUCAAGAUUGACGCUCAUGCACGAAAGCGUGGGGAGCAAACAGGAUUAGAUACCCGAUAGUCCCAUGAU